AGGCAGCAGUGGGGAAUAUUGCACAAUGGGCGCAAGCCUGAUGCAGCCAUGCCGCGUGUAUGAAGAAGGCCUUCGGGUUGUAAAGUACUUUCAGCAGUGAGGAAGGCGGGUGUGUUAAUAGCGCAUUCGUUUGACGUUAGCUGCAGAAGAAGCACCGGCUAACUCCGUGCCAGCAGCCGCGGUAAUACGGAGGGUGCGAGCGUUAAUCGGAAUUACUGGGCGUAAAGCGCAUGCAGGUGGUUUGUUAAGUCAGAUGUGAAAGCCCGGGGCUCAACCUCGGAAUUGCAUUUGAAACUGGCAGACUAGAGUACUGUAGAGGGGGUAGAAUUUCAGGUGUAGCGGUGAAAUGCGUAGAGAUCUGAAGGAAUACCGGUGGCGAAGGCGGCCCCCUGGACAGAUACUGACACUCAGAUGCGAAAGCGUGGGGAGCAAACAGGAUUAGAUACCCUGGUAG
rnacentral:rRNA from 1 species